UACGGAGGUGGCGAGCGUUGUCCGAAGUUACUGGGCGUAAAGCGCGCGCAGGCGGUCCGGUAAGUCUCCGGUGAAAUCGCCCGGCUCAACUGGGCGGGUGCCGGGGAGACUGGCGGACUUGAGGAGCCUAGAGGCCGGUGGAACUCCCGGUGUAGUGGUGAAAUGCGUAGAGAUCGGGAAGAACACCAGUGGCGAAGGCGGCCGGCUGGGGGUGUCCUGACGCUGAGGCGCGAGAGCGUGGGGAGCAAACCGG
rnacentral:rRNA from 1 species